rnacentral:rRNA from 1 species
AACCGGCGAACGGGUGAGUAACACGUAGGUAAUCUACCUUGAAGUUUGGGACAACCUCGCGAAAGUGGGGCUAAUACCGAAUGACACAAGCGGUUCCUCGGGACUGUUUGUCAAAGCUUCCGAGCGCUUCAAGAUGAGCCUGCGUCCGAUUAGCUAGUUGGUGAGGUAACGGCUCACCAAGGCUACGAUCGGUAGCCGACCUGAGAGGGUGAUCGGCCACACUGGGACUGAGAUACGGCCCAGACUCCUACGGGAGGCAGCAGUGAGGAAUAUUGGUCAAUGGGCGAAAGCCUGAACCAGCAACGCCGCGUGAGGGAUGAAGCACUAAGGUGUGUAAACCUCUGUUAGAGGGGACGAACGAUCCCGAUAUUCGGGAUGUGACGGUACCCUCAGAGAAAGCCCCGGCUAACUCCGUGCCAGCAGCCGCGGUAAUACGGGGGGGGCAAGCGUUGUCCGGAAUUAUUGGGUGUAAAGGGCGCGUAGGCGGAUUUGUAAGUCAGUGGUGAAAUCUCGGGACUUAACUCCGAGUCUGCCUCUGAGACUGCUUUUCUUGAGUGUGGAAGAGGAAAUCGGAAUUCCCGGUGUAGCGGUGAAAUGCGUAGAUAUCGGGAAGAACACCAGUGGCGAAGGCGGAUUUCUGGUCCACAAC